rnacentral:lncRNA from 1 species
GAAAAACUUCAGGUUGUUGGAAGAAUUUAACAAAAUGCAAAUAUUGAGUUGAAAAUCCCUUUGAUGGAAGAAUAAGUCGAAAGCUGUUCCUGAGACUCGAACCCACAACUUCUGUAAACAAGCGUAGCUUUCGAUUUUUUUGUAUCCGAAGCGAUUUUCAACCGAUAUUUACAUGCUGUUCAUUUAUAGCUUUAUCUGCUUCGAGAACCACUAUUACAAAAAAAUUUUGCAAGUUCUCUCGAAAGUUUAUCUAUUCUAAUGAUCGCAUUAUUUUAUUUAUUUAUUUGCUAUGUUUAUAGAGUUUUGUUUUUGUUUUUCACAGACCUUUUGGAAUCGAAGACGUCCAAUAAUAAACUUUCAAAUCAAGAAGUGGAAGGUGUAAGCAAAAUAUAAUAUUUUAAGCCGCAUAUAAAAACAUCGCAGCGACUCGAAUUUCUACUACUACUACUACUACUACUGCGGCUAUCGCUGUUGUUAUAUAGUGUUAUCUCUGUCGUCGCCAUGGGUGAUCGAUACAACAUCCACAGCCAGUUGGAACAUCUGCAAUCGAAAUACAUCGGAACUGGACACGCGGAUACAAAUAAAUGGGAAUGGCUGACGAAUCAACACAGGGACAGCUACGCUUCCUACCUUGGCCAUUUUGAUAUGCUCAAUUAUUUCUCGCUGGUGGAAAACGAAUCGAAGGCUCGCGUCCGUUUCAAUCUGAUGGAAAAAAUGGUACAGCCAUGUGGUCCGCCUCCCGAAAGACCAGAAGAUUAAAUCACAUCGGACUCUACCCACUCCCCCUCUUUUUUUUUUAUCUUAUAUGUAUAUAUAAAUAUUUUUUUUUUCAAUUUCAUUCAUAUUUUCUUAUCAUUUUACAAUUGUUAAUUUUUUCUCUUUCUCCCGCCAUCUUCAUUUCACACCCCAUUACACACACAGACGCAUUGACACAUGCAUUUGUAAUUUUCCGGCCCAGUUUCGAUCUCAACUAAUAUUUUUCCGGCGUGUCCAGUGGCUUUUAACUAAGUCGAAUCACCCAGUCAUUUAGGAUCUUAGUUAAAGACUAUUUAUUUCAGUCAUGUUGCUACUACCCUUACAUAAGACGUGAUCAAUUCACACACACUUUCUCUCUCUCUCCCUCUCUCUCUCUCUCUACCCCUAAAAAACGUAGGACCUAAAUAAUAAAUAAAAAUAUGAUAACACAGGCUUCGUACUCACGAAAACAACAACAGUCUUAAAGAAGAAGGGACACAUUGCUUUAAUUCAGUUAUAUUAAUGUGGGAAAAAGAUGAAGUGGACUUUAGAAUGCUUUAUAUAUCUGUUCAGAGUUGACCUGGAGCUAAGCAACAAGAAGCUAAAAUUAACCAUCAACGCGAUGGCGUGUCCAAUCCAUCUGCAGUUAAGGCUGGAGGUGAGAGAGCACGGCCGUAAGCCAUUUUCACUUUCACUUUAAGCCUGGUUGGAUGUCUUCAGAAUGAACACAAAUGUCUCGGCGUCUCCUGUUUUAUUGUGUCAUCGCAGUUAAGGGCCUGUGUGUACGAAACCACUGUUUACUCUAAAACUAGCCACCAUCACUAAAACUCCUCCCGCUACUCAGUGCUAUUGUAAACAAACUCACGCACGCACUCACCAACGAACGGUUCCAGCGGACUUGGCGGUUUGUUUAUUUACAUAUUACAAAAGCAGCAGAACGUGACUGAUUCAUUGUCAUGGGCCUUUAUUGAUAUUAGUUUUAGCUACAGCAAUUUUUGUUUUCUUUUUAAUAUUUACCAUAAUCAUUUUGAGUUAUUAUUUAUUAAUUUUUUUUUAUUAAGAUCGUUAUAUUAAUAAUUUUACUUAGAAAGUUCAAACACAAAUACAUUUACAUAUAUUUUUUUUUAUUCAUAUUUGUCAAUUUAUCAAUAAACCUUGUCAUUUGAGCAAAGAUUUUUAUCAUCUGGACUUCAAAUGUUUUCCUUUGAUUUCCUUCAGAUGUUUUAAGUGUCUUUUUCUUCUUUUUUUUUUCUUUGGAGGCACAUGGCUUAGUGGUUAAAGUGUUGGGCUGUUGAUCAUAAGAUUGUGGUUUCAAUUCCUGGGCCUGACAUUGCAUUGUGUACUUGAGCAUAACACUUCAUUUCACAUUGCUUCAGUAGACCCAGCUACCAAAAGUGAGUAAUCCUGCAACAGACCAGCUUCCCAUCUAGGGGAGUUGGGAUAUAUAUGUCAGAGAAUCCAAGCAGCUGGCCCUAUGAGCCUUUAU